rnacentral:rRNA from 1 species
GAACGCUGGCGGCAGGCCUAACACAUGCAAGUCGAGCGGAUGAAGGGAGCUUGCUCCUGGAUUCAGCGGCGGACGGGUGAGUAAUGCCUAGGAAUCUGCCUGGUAGUGGGGGAUAACGUCCGGAAACGGGCGCUAAUACCGCAUACGUCCUGAGGGAGAAAGUGGGGGAUCUUCGGACCUCACGCUAUCAGAUGAGCCUAGGUCGGAUUAGCUAGUUGGUGGGGUAAAGGCCUACCAAGGCGACGAUCCGUAACUGGUCUGAGAGGAUGAUCAGUCACACUGGAACUGAGACACGGUCCAGACUCCUACGGGAGGCAGCAGUGGGGAAUAUUGGACAAUGGGCGAAAGCCUGAUCCAGCCAUGCCGCGUGUGUGAAGAAGGUCUCCGGAUUGUAAAGCACUUUAAGUUGGGAGGAAGGGCAGUAAGUUAAUACCUUGCUGUUUUGACGUUACCAACAGAAUAAGCACCGGCUAACUUCGUG